AUUGAACGCUGGCGGCAUGCCUUACACAUGCAAGUCGAACGGCAGCACGGGAGCUUGCUCCUGGUGGCAAGUGGCGAACGGGUGAGUAAUACAUCGGAACGUACCCUGAAGUGGGGGAUAACGUAGCGAAAGUUACGCUAAUACCGCAUAUUCUGUGAGCAGGAAAGAGGGGGAUCGCAAGACCUCUUGCUUUAGGAGCGGCCGAUGUCGGAUUAGCUAGUUGGUGAGGUAAAGGCUCACCAAGGCGACGAUCCGUAGCGGGUCUGAGAGGAUGAUCCGCCGCACUGGGACUGAGACACGGCCCAGACUCCUACGGGAGGCAGCAGUGGGGAAUUUUGGACAAUGGGCGCAAGCCUGAUCCAGCCAUGCCGCGUGAGUGAAGAAGGCCUCGGGUUGGUUAAAGACGUCUUUCCGGUGGGGUAAGGAAAGUUAGUCUUCGGUUAA
rnacentral:rRNA from 1 species